rnacentral:rRNA from 1 species
CUACGGGGUGCUCCAGUGGGGAAUAUUGGACAAUGGGGGAAACCCUGAUCCAGCAAUGCCGCGUGUGUGAAGAAGGCCUGCGGGUUGUAAAGCACUUUCGGUUGGGAGGACUGCUUCUAGCACUAAUAUUGGUGGAAGUUGACGAUAACUUCAGAAGAAGCACCGGCUAACUCCGUGCCAGCAGCCGCGGUAAUACGGAGGGUGCAGGCGUUAAUCGGAAUUACUGGGCGUAAAGCGCGCGUAGGCGGCUAGAUCAGUCGGGUGUGAAAGCCCCGGGCUUAACCUGGGAACUGCAUCCGAUACUGUCUAGCUUGAGUACAGGAGAGGAGAGUGGAAUUCCACAUGUAGCGGUGAAAUGCGUAGAUAUGUGGAGGAACACCAAUGGCGAAGGCAGCUCUCUGGCCUGAUACUGACGCUGAGGUGCGAAAGCGUGGGGAGCAAACAGGAUUAGAUACCCCCGUAGUC